GGCAUCGAUGAAGAACGCAGCGAAACGCGAUAGGUAAUGCGAAUUGCAGAAUUCCGUGAGUCAUUGAAUUUUUGAACGCACAUUGCGCCCGCCGGCACCCCGGCGGGCACGCCUUUCCGAGCGACAUAACGAAAACCCCUCAGGCUCUGCCUGGUGUUGGGACCUCGGGGCUACCCGAUCCCCUAAAUAUAGUGGCAGCCCGGCUGUCUCCAUCGGACGUGGUACAUCUCUCGUUCGUGGGGUUAGUGGGUGCUGGCCGUUAAACCUGCACGCUGUGCACCUAGUGGUUGAUCUCGGAUCAGGCGGGAAUACGCGCUGAACUUAAGCAUAUCAAUAAGCGCAGGAAAAGAAACCAACAGGGAUUGCCCCAGUAACGGCGAGUGAAGCGGCAACAGCUCAGAUUUGAAAGCUCCCCCCCCCGGGGCGCGUUGUAAUCUGUAGAGGACGUUUCGGGCGCGGCCUUGCCUAAGUCCCCUGGAACGGGGCGCCACAGAGGGUGAGAGCCCCGUAUCGGCAGCGGCCUAGCCUGUGUGAAGCUCCUUCGACGAGUCGAGUAGUUUGGGAUUGCUGCUCUAAAUGGGAGGUAAAUUCCUUCUAAAGCUAAAUAUUGGCCAGAGACCGAUAGCGCACAAGUAGAGUGAUCGAAAGAUGAAAAGCACUUUGGAAAGAGGGUUAAAUAGCACGUGAAAUUGCUGAAAGGGAAGCGCUAGUGAUCAGACACUGGCAGGCGCGAUCAGCCGGCGUUCUCGCCGGUGCACUCGUGGCUGUCCGGGCUAGCGUCGGUUUCUCUGGGGGUGGAAUAGCCCGGGAAAGUAGCU
rnacentral:rRNA from 1 species